ACUCCUACGGGAGGCAGCAGUAGGGAAUUUUCCGCAAUGGACGAAAGUCUGACGGAGCAAUGCCGCGUGAGUGAUGAAGGUUUUCGAAUCGUAAAGCUCUGUUGUAAGGGAAGAAUAGCAAGAAUAGGUAAAUGAUUCUUGUCUUGACUGGUACCUUACCAGAAAGCCAACGGCUAACUACGUGCCAGCAGCCGCGGUAAUACGUAGGUGGCAAGCGUUAUCCGGAAUUAUUGGGCGUAAAAGCGCAUGUAGGCGGCUUUUUAAGUCUGAUGUGAAAGCCAGUGGCUCAACCACUGAAUUGCAUUGGAUACUGGAAAGCUAGAAUCUUGGAGGAGGU
rnacentral:rRNA from 1 species